AACAAAAUCCAACUCAGAAAUACAAGCAGAAGAGAGACAUGUUUCCUGCUGGACAAGGCUUGUAUUUAGCCACCCUCGUAGCCUGGACCCACUGAGGCAAGAAUGGCAGGAACCUGGAACGUCAAAGGCCCUGCAGCUGUUGCCUGGACUUGAGUGGCUAACUCUCAGUUUCCUCAGCUGUAAAGCAGUGACCAAGGUAGUUCUGGAUGUUGGGGAAACUGCCCUCCCAGUCCUGCCUCAUUUCUCUGGCUCAUUGCUGCAGCUUUCUUUCCUUUGCUCACUUUUUCCUCUUGCUUGGAACUGCCUUUCCAUUUUUUGGCUGAAAGCCUGGGCAUAUUCAUAUUUAAAAAUAUUUUUAAAAUAGACUUAUACCAUUUUCACCCAUUUACUCCUAACCCUUUCCUUCCACCUUUGGUAAACACCAAUCUGUUGUCUGCUUCUAUGAGCCUUUUUCUUCCUUUUUUAAACUCCACAUAUAAGAGAGAUCAUACGAUUUGUCUUUCUCUGUCAAACUUAUUUCACUUAGCAUAAUGCCCUCAGAGUUCAUCCAUGUUGUCACAAAUGGCAAGAUUUCACUGUUGUUGUUUUUUUUUGAUGACUAACUGAUAUUCCACUCUCUCCAUAUACAAUAAUUUCUUUGUCCAUCCGUCCAUUAAUAGGUCGUUUCCAUGUCUUAGCUAUUGUAAAUAAUGCUGCAAUGAAUAUGGGGGUGCAGAUAUCUUUUUGACUUAGUAUUUUUGUUUUCUUUGGAUAAAUAUCCAAAGAAACCAUCCAAACCUGGAUGGCUCAGUUGCUUAAGUAUCUGACUCUUGAUCUCAGCUUAGGUCUUGAUCUCAGGGUUGUGCUUAGACCCCAUGCUGGCUGUGAAACAAACAAACAAACAAACACCCUCCCUAAUUAUCUGGAUAAAUAUCCAGAAGUGACAUUCCUGGAUCAUAUGGUAGUUCUCUUUUAACUGUUUUUCAAUGGGUGUUGGUGGUUUCUUCUGAUGUAAAGAAGGUUUUAAUAUGAUGUAGUCUCACAAAAUGAAAAGAAAAGCUACCAAAUGGGGGAAAAGUUUUGCAAAGCAUAUCUGAUAAGACAUUAAUAUACAAAAUAUAUAAAGUACUCAUACAAACUAAUAACAAAAAACCCCCAAACAAUCUGAUUUUAAAAAGUGCAGAUGAUCACAAUAUACAUUUUCUCAAAGAAGAGAAAGAGGCAACCAACAGUUACAUGAAAAGAUAGUCUACAUCAUUAAUCAUCAGUGAAAUGCAAACCAGAACCACAAUGAGAUGUCACUUUGCACCUGUUAGAAUGGCUACUAUCAAAAAGACAAGAGAUAACAGGUAUUGUUAAGGAUGUGGAGAAAGGGAACCCUGUGC
rnacentral:lncRNA from 1 species